UACGUAGGGGGCAAGCGUUGUCCGGAAUUAUUGGGCGUAACGCGCGUGUAGGCGGCUCGAUAAGUCUGCUGUGAAAGUCCAAGGCUCAACCUUGGAAAGCCGGUGGAUACUGUCGAGCUCGAGUCCGGAAGAGGCGAGUGGAAUUCCAGGUGUAGCGGUGAAAUGCGUAGAUAUCUGGAGGAACACCGGUGGCGAAGGCGGCAUCCUGGACCGGUAUUGACGCUGAGGCGCGAAAGCCAGGGGAGCAAAGCGGG
rnacentral:rRNA from 1 species